rnacentral:lncRNA from 1 species
CCCCGCCGAACCACCUCAUCGGCGCCGGCGAGGGGAUAAGGCAGGCGCCCUCCUCCUCUCGGCCUCGUCAGCUCCACUCCCCCCUGCGCAGAUAUUUUCCCACGCCCCCUCUCUCCCUCGUCCCUCUCCCUUUUGCUUUUCCUCUCCUCCAGGUCCACCCAUGGCUGCCCAUGCCAUCGUCGUUUCUUCGCCGCCCGCGUAGCCAGCAGCCUCCCCGUGUCAAGCCGGCAGGUCCACGGGCUCCGUCACCUUCUGCUCCUUCGACUACACCGCUGGAUCGAGCCGGGGAGCCGCUCCAUCGCCUCCGUCGCCUUCGUCUUCGUCAUCGCUCGUCACCGCUGCCCGGUCGCGGAUCCGUUCUCCGACGCCUCCCCGGGCCUCCCUCGAGCACGCUUUGCACAACUACAGGCUCCCGGUGAGCCGCACGUCCCCCCUUCCCCUAUGCUCCCGUUGCCGAACACCACCCAUAGCCGCCGCCGAACGUCGCCCCUGUCGACGCGCUUGCUGACCCAUCGUCGCGCCGCCAGCAUCGCCUGCACGCGCCCACGGCCGCGCCUCCGUGACUUCCCGCGCGCCCGUGCCCCGCGUCUGUUGCUACUGCUGCGCCUACGCCCGCCUUAGCUGCGCCCCGCCUCGCCCCGACCUACCGCCGAUGCCCACGACCACUGCUACUCCCCGCUGUGUACGCCUUCCCGCACCUAGGUGCGCCUACUGCUGCUACUGCUCGCAUCGCUGCAUGCCGUCGCCACCCCCUGCUGCCGCCGCCGCCAGCAGCCUCGCCUUCCCCCGCAGCCGCGCGGCCCCGCCCCCACGGUCGUCCCGCGCUCGUUGCACCGUGCCGCCCCGCUCCGGUGUGCCACUGCCCGCCCGUCGUUGGCCGCGCCUCCGACCGCUCCGUGAAGCCCGCGCCAUCCCCUACUGCCCGUGGCCGAUGCCUCCUCUCCGCGCUAGCCGUCGUGGCCGCGCUCGGCCGCCGCCAACCCGCAGCCCGCGCCCCGUUCCGCGGCGUUGUCGCCCCUGCUGCGCUGCUCUGCCUACUGCUUCCGCCGCGGGCCGCUGCUGCAGCGCGCGAGCCCCGCCCCAUGCUCCUCUGCGCCCCGUCCCAUCGACCGGGGCUACCGGCUCCGCCCACCGUGGCCCUCGCGCCCCGCUCCCUCGUCGGCCGGUGGCCUCGCCCGGGCGUAGCGCCCCUCGGGAAUGGGCGCGCCUGCCCAUUGACCCGCCCCGCCCCACUGUCCUAAUGCCACUGCCAGCGGGCCCCUGUUGCCCUGGCCUUUAAAAAAUAACAUAUAGAAAUAAAUAAAUUAGUUAAUUAGCUUAAUUAACUCGGGAUUAAUUAGCCUAAUCACUAGUUUAGUUAACUAAACUGUUAGGCUAGGCUAAUCAGUGCAUGACAGGGGACCGCACCCCGUGUUGACCAGUCAAAUGUUGACUGGUCAACUGGGACCCCCUGGCCCACUUGUCAGCCAUUGGGUGCACUUUUGUGUACCCUGUGCUGUGUACCCAUAGCGUUCUAAUCGUUAUUUUCGAAUUAAUAUUAAAUUCAGAAUAUUGUUUAAAUCUUUGGAAAAUCAUAGAAAAUAAUCCGUAACUCGGAUGAAAAAGUUUUAUACAUGAAAGUUGCUCAGAACGACGAGACGAAUCCGGAUACACCCUCCGUUCGUCUGUCACUCAUCCCUAGCAUGGCGAACAUCGAACUUUUCCCCUUCGGUUCGUCUGUCCGAAAAUGCCUAACUCCGGGAAAACUUUCCGGAUGUUAUCCCCUUUCACCGGUAUUGUGUAGCACUGCGUUAGAACACCCCUAGUACUGCUUAUUGCUUGUCAUGUAUCUGUUUGCUAUGUAUUUACUGUUUCUUCCCCCUCUUCUCUCCGGUAGACCCCGAGACCGUUGCUGAUGUCCCUGUGAUCGACUACGUCGACGACGACCCUUCUUCCCUUUCAGUGGAGCUUCCAGGCAAGCCCCCCUUUGAUCAUCCCGAUAUCGCCCAUUCAUUUCUCUCAUGCUUGCAUUAGAUUUUGCUACUGUAAUUGAUUGCUCCUAUUCUGAUGCACAGCCUGCUUUUGUAACCUGCUUACUGUUACCUACCUGCGUAUCCUAAACUGCUUAGUAUAGGUUGGUUAGUGAUCCAUCAGUGACCCCCACCUUGCCUUUGUUGCCCCUGCUUCAUCUUCGAUGACUCGAUCAACGUGAUCGAUGACCAGAGCCUGACACCUCACAUCACAUCAUGCCCCUUUUGUUGCUCGAAUCUGCAGAGCUACUAUCGAGUGCCGAGGGUGAUCCCUCAUAACGCACUCCUGAUGAUAAUCUGUAGUGUAGCUAUUCGGUCAUGGUCAUCGAGGGUGAUUUCCUCUUUCACCAUUCCCGAUACGGCUCUGUCGUGCAACACCUCAAGUGUGAACCUCGAGGGUGGUCCCUCUUACGUUCACCUUGAUGAUUACAUUGAGUGGAAUCCUCCGUGGGUGAUUCCUCGGGUUUUCCCCUUGAUGUUUGGACACACGGUUACCUUGACUUUACUUGAGACCAUUGUUGAAGUCGGGUCGGCCCUGAGGGGUACCCGCGAGUUGAUGUGAAAGUCGGGCGGGCCCAUAGAGCACCCGCGAGUUUUCUACAUGGCACGGCCGGGCAGUCUGGGCCCUUUCUAUAAGUCCAUGAGACGGGGCGACGGGGUCACAAUAUCGUGAGUCUCUGCUCGUCUCUGCGAGCCCCUAAUGCACUAACAGGUUUGGGUAUUUGUUCUGAGUUGGCCUCUAGCCUUUACGCACUAACCACCACGUGAGAAUAGAUAUGGGCCUCGACGUCGCAGUAUCAGCCGAAGCUUUGUCAGACGUCCAGUUCCAUACGGCGGCACGGUCGGAUCGUGCUGGCCAUCCAAGGCGGCGCUGGAAUUCACCCUGCACGCAACGACCCGGAGUGCAAUGGGCGAUGGGCCCAAGACCCCGGGGCACUUAGGAUGUAGACCGGCGGGGACCUCUCUGCUGAGCUUAGGUAGGGCUGCGACGUGUUGAUCUUCCGAGGCCGGGCAUUGACCCCAGAAAGGUGUGCCCGGCCAGAGUGAUCGAGCGUGUUGGGUAACGUGGUGCACCCCUGCAGGGAAGACAUAUAUUCGAAUACCGUGUCCACAGUAAUGGACGUUCAGACUUGUAUCCGGAUCUUAUAUAACUAGAAAUGGAUACUUGAGACAUGUGAUGGAUAUGUGGCUUCGAGAUUGCUUUCUCGUAGGGAGUCGAGGAAGGAUCUCUGGGCGUUAAUGUUACAACAUGUUUGGUAAAUAUAAAUUGCUAUUCUUUACUCUUCUACAUGAUGCAAGAUGCUUGGAGCUGCUUGAAGAUGCUAGUCUUCGAUAGGCUAGGCCUUCCCCUCUAUUCUGGCAUUCUGCAGUUCAGUCCACAGAUACAACCCUUCCAUUUGAUACCAAUGCAUACUUAGUAUAGAUCUGAUGCUUGCGAGUACUUUGGAUGAGUACUCACGGUUGCUUUGCUACCCCUUUUCCCCUUCUUCCUUCUUUCCGGUUGUCGCAGCCAGAUGGUGGAUCCUUGGAGCCAGAUGCCACCGCCGACGGAUGCUACUACGUGGAGACCGCCGACGACCCGGAGUAGUUAGGAGGUCCCAGGCAGGAGGCCUUGCCUCUUCGAUCAUUGAUGUUUGUGCUAGCCUUCUUAAGGCAUCCUUGUCUAACUUAUGUCCGUACUCAGAUAUUGUUGCUUCCGCUGACGCUUGUGUAUCGAGCUUGUAUUCGAGCCCUCGAGGCCCCUGGCUUGUAAUAUAAAGCUUGUAUUAUUUUAAUCUGUGUCUAGAGUUGUGUUGUGAUAUCUUCCCGUGAGUCCCUGAUCUUGGUCGUACACAUUUGCGUGCAUGAUUAGUGUACGGUCGAAUUGGGGGCGUCACACAGCCGGGACUCU